rnacentral:lncRNA from 1 species
GCAAGGACAUCUUCAAGUAGAUCAGGUUGCUCAGAGCCCCAGCCAAGCUGACCUUGAAUGUGUCCAGGGCUAGGGCACCUGCCAGCUCUCUGGGCGACCUGUGCCAGCAUUUCAGCACUCUCCUGCUAAAGAGUUUCUUCCUUACAGCCCAUCUGAAUGGACUCUCUUUUAGUUUCAAACCUUUUCCCCCUUGUCUCUUGCAAUUGGCCCUGCUAAUUAGAUGUGUCCCCAUCUUUCUCCAAAGCCCCUUCAAUUAUUGAACUUGUCUCCUCGGGGCUUGUCCUUCUCCAGGCCAAAGAAGCCCAGUUCUCACAGGUGUUCCUCAGAGGAGAGCUCCCAGCUUCUGGUCAUUUCUGAGGCCCUCUUUUGCUCUCGGGUGCUGUUUUCAGGUUUACCUGCUAGCGAAGGAACUGAAGUAUCGCAAUGCUGGGGACAGAGGCCCACAGUGGCGUUUGGAAAACACAACGAAAGCAGUCCCUGACAAGCGGUUCUAGGUUGAUCUGUGGGAAGGCAGGGGCUGUGGGAGGCUGACUGUGAGCCUCAGAGGGGACCCAGCUUGUCCCUCCUGCCCCACUCUUAGAAGUUGCUGCCAGCCAAACAAGGACAGCUGAGCAGCAUUUGUGCCAGCCCCAUGUGCUACCUGGCCCGGUCAAGUCAGUGAGAAGCGCUGCGGCUUUGCUGCCAGCUUUUGUGUUAGACAGGGAGCUGGUGACCAGGCCACUUCCUUGGCUGUCCCUGCUGUGGUGGAAGAUGCCAGCCAGCACAGGAGGGGCAGGGCAUGCUAAGGAACACACUUCUCUCCUUGCAAGCCAAGAAGAGAACUGAGUCUAUUUGCACUUUGCUGCUUGUGUCUGUGCAUUUCUGGGCACUAGAGGAAACCAGCUUGAGCCUGUUAGGAGCUCAGUUUGGAAAAGAAUGGUUUCUUUUGCCUUUGUCUCUUGUAAUUUGGUUUCUUUUGUUUCUCUUUCUUUCUUGGGCAGCAUCCAUUCCUCAAAUUAGCCAAGCCUCUCUUCGGCCUCUUCUGACAGCCCAAUUGCUGCCAUCCCUGCAGCAAAGUAAUGCAGGAAACAGAGGAGAUGGCAAGGACCACUUCAGCACUUGGAGAACAGAGCCUCUGAGAACAGGCAGACACCCUGAGGAGCGAGGGGCCAGGAAACAACAGGCGGCCAUCAGAACAGGAGAGGAAGGCAAACAAGAUGGAACGACAGCGUUUGCAGGCACAGCAGCUGCUGGAGCAACGGGAACACUUCCCGGCAGAGGUGCAGAGGGAGCAGGAGAAAUAGCGGCUUGAGAUGAAGCAGGAAGUUGCCAUCAUUCAAGCUACCAAGAAGAGAUCACAAGGGCCCCCGCCACAUAAAUCUCCACUCCAGGUGCUUUGCAAAUGAAAAUGAAGGAAAUUUGCAGGGAAGCAAUCGAGGAAGCAGAGAGCAUGACCAGGUGCACUUCAGCAUUACUUUCUCCAAUGCCAGCUCACAGCCAGAAUAAAAACAUCUUUAAAACCCUCA